AUUUUUGCCAAUUUUNUGUUUAUUUUUAAAGAAAAAUCGUUUGGCCCCUACAUUUUUUUUAAAAAUUCAAUGAAAGCUGCUUAAACAUUUAAAAGGAAAAAACAAUAACUUGUAAUGUGUUAGUGUUUUUAUUAGUUGAUAUUUUAAGUUUGUUUUCACAUAACUAUUUUAUUAUUUUAAAUACUGCAAUAUCACUAUGAUGAUAUGGUUAGGUCAGGCUAGGAAGUAAACAUUUUUUUUAAAUUAUCCUAAAUUAUAAAUUUUAUGAUGAAUAGACAGGUGGUCAGUAUUAAUGGCUUAGACAAUGUACAACAAGCAACCAAUUCAAAGAUUGAGCUAAGAAAAUAGUUAUUAAGAUCUUUGAUUUUACUGUAUCAAUGUAAUGUAUAUUAUGUUUAAAAAAAAUCUGCAGCACAUUAAAAACAUAAAUUAAAUAAGUAUUGGCAUUAUAAUAAUUUGAAAGUAUUAUGU